AUUGUAUUGUAUUGACAUACAUGUGAAGAAAACAAAAAUAAUAUGGCACAAACAAACUCUCAAACCACAAUUUUAUUAGACAACCACCAACAAUGUUUCAGAACCAAUAUGGACUUUUUUUUACAGCCUUUAAAAGCAAAAAAAUUGCAGGUAAGUUCAUUAAAAUGUGCUGGUUUGGGAAUUUGUGUGUGCUACAUUGUUUGUUUUCUUCACAACUAUGUUUGUUGUACCAUCCUGAUCCUAGU